GAUAAACGCUAGCGGCAGGCCUAACACGUGCAAGUCGAGGGGCAGCAUAGAUUGUAGCAAUACAAUUGGUGGCGACCGGCGCACGGGUGCGUAACGCGUAUGCAACCUACCCGUCACAGGGGGAUAAUCCGGAGAAAUCUGGUCUAAUACCCCAUAACAUAUGGAUCGGCAUCGGUUCAUGUUGAAAUUUUCGGAGGUGACGGAUGGGCAUGCGUAGCAUUAGCUUGUUGGUGAGGUAACGGCUCACCAAGGCGACGAUGCUUAGGGGGACUGAGAGGUUUUCCCCCCACACUGGUACUGAGACACGGACCAGACUCCUACGGGAGGCAGCAGUGAGGAAUAUUGGUCAAUGGGCGCAAGCCUGGACCAGCCAUGCCGCGUGCAGGAUGACGGCUCUAUGAGUUGUAAACUGCUUUUGUACGAGGGUAAAGUGGGUUACGUGUAACCUUUUGAAAGUAUCGUACGAAUAAGGAUCGGCUAACUCCGUGCCAGCCGCCGCGGUAA
rnacentral:rRNA from 1 species